rnacentral:lncRNA from 1 species
CAGGUCAGUUUUGUAAGGAAACAUCCUAUGAACUUUCACAGAGAGAGAUAAACACACACAAACAGGCAGAGUAUGGAACACAAGCAAAAACCUUGAGAGACAUACAGUAUAUAGCUCCAGAACCGAGACACCGACUCACCUUGAAGCUGGAGCUCUUGAGCACCAGGUAGCCCUUCUCGAUGAGGUCCAGCGUCAGCUUCAGGUAGAGGUAGGAGCCGCGGCUCAGGGCCUUGAGGUGGGUGCUCAGCUUGGCGAAGGCUGCGUUGUCCAGACGCCCGUUAAGAGACACGUUGCUCUGGAUCUCAGCACUGCCCUGGAUCCGCUGCAGCAGAUAGCCCUGCAGGUCCUGGUCUAUGGCAUCAUUCUCCUCCAGGCGGUCAAGAGAGAUACGGUGGAACGGGAGGGGAUGUGUGAUCUCCUGUAGGGAGGUCCUGACAGUGACCACCAGUUUGAGCCAGGGAGGAAAGCGUUCCAUGGUCUUACACAGGAAGGAGGUGAUGGUGUCGCCGUAGUCCGGCUUGUGGAACUCUGCCUCAUUCAGCCCGUCUACCAGAAUGAUCAGGUCCUCCUCACAUGCUAUCUUCCUCUCUGAUGAACACAAAGACAACAAGGUUCUUUAUCAGGACAAGGAGUGGAAAUAAUGAACUAUUAGCUACUGAGAUGGGACAUUUAGUUGUUUUUUGGAAAACAUGAAUGGAGUUGGCCCAAACCCUGAGAGAAAAUAACAAGUUAUCAAAUGACCAGCUCCUAUGCAGUUCCAUAAAACCUUGAACACCCCUGACCUCUGUGCAGGAUGUCGAGGGGCUCCAGCACGCCCCUCCUGAAGGCAUUGAGGGGGUCCUGGACACAGGAGCGCAGACUGAGGGUGCUCUGCAGGUGGGGCUCCCGCAGCAGCUGCUCCCUGUAGGCCAUGAGCUGGGGUGCCCGGCACAGCAGAGCCGCCACAUUGUGGACAAACUCUGGCACCAGGCACGUGUAGGCGUUGUCGGCCUGGCAGUAGUGGUAUGCCACCACCUGGGGGCGAUAGAGAGUGUAAGU